rnacentral:rRNA from 1 species
AUAGCGUAUAUUAAAGUUGUUGCAGUUAAAAAGCUCGUAGUUGGAUUGCUAGGACGAAGUUUUCUGAGUCCUACUAGUCCCUCCGGGGACAGUUACUGUGAGAAAAUUAGAGUGUUUCAAGCAGGCGUUUGCAGGAAUACAUUAGCAUGGAAUAACGAAUGUUUCUAGAAUCUUGGUUAAUUCUAGAUUACGAUUAAUAGGGACAGUUGGGGGCAUUAGUAUUUAAUUGUCAGAGGUGAAAUUCUUGGAUUGACUCAAGACCAACUAUUG